GGACUACAAGGGUAUCUAAUCCUGUUUGCUCCCCAUGCUUUCGUGCCUCAGUGUCAGUAUCUGUCCAGGAAGUCGCCUUCGCCACUGGUGUUCCUUCCGAUAUCUACGCAUUUCACCGCUACACCGGAAAUUCCACCUCCCUCUACAGUACUCUAGCUCAACAGUAUUAGGCGCAAUUCCCAGGUUAAGCCCGGGGCUUUCACACCUAACUUAUCAAACCACCUACGCACCCUUUACGCCCAGUAAUUCCGAUUAACGCUUGCACCCUCUGUAUUACCGCGGCUGCUGGCAC
rnacentral:rRNA from 1 species